CCACCCCGACCACUACUUCCGUCAUCCCCAACACCCUAUUGCAGCACCGCCUAUCACCCAACUAAUACAGAUCUAAGCCGCAGGCACUCCAACGCCGACCACCGUUCUCCGCCCAACGCUCCAUUGGCACCACCCUACUCCGUGAGCCCCCUCCUCCAAGCAGAACUUGACAAACGAGCACCAAGCAGGGCCACCUCCUCUACGUCCUCUACCCAAGCAGCGGAGUGUUCGUCUCCUCCAGCGAGCAGCUCUGCCUCCUCAACAUCCUAAAUCUAGGCAGCGCUGCCUCCUCUACUUUCCUACCCCAACCGAGAGCAUUUGGUAGGUGAGAUUUGUUUGCUAACUUCUAUUAUUAUUCAGUGUAGCAGUUUUAGUCAGAGAUGCAGUGUAUUGACAUGAAGCUUCGAUUGGCGGAAAGCUGGCCAAAUUUUCUGGUAUAUUAUCUGUAUUCUUUGGUAAUCUGCUUCUCAUAACUUGACCCAGUUCUCAUUGAUUGCCUGGUUUCCAGUGUGGUCUUUUACUUGCUCUGUUCAUGUGUUUGCAAGACGUUUAAACUGUUGGGCGUUAUAACAUGUCUGUUCUUUCUUGCAAUUGUCAUUGCAUCGCUAUAGGCGGCAAUUUAGGUUGUUUUUUGUCUGGAAAACUGCAGAAUAUGUUCGGUAAGUAAAAAUCCAAAUGCCCUUAAAACUGGCCAGAUUCGGAGAUCUUUUUACAUGUUCAUGGAUUACUGGUUUAUGAAUUUUCUGUAUACAACCAAAUUUUAUGGUCCAUGUAUCCAGUAUGUUAGACUUCCAUCCUGAAUUUUUGUUUGUUAGGUUUACCCUGAACUUGUUUAUGAUGUUAGGGUGCAUCAUUAUCUUGCUACUGUUAGUGGUCUACUGUGCAUUUUUUACGUGAUGUGCAACUUUUAUACAGUAUUUUCCAUUAUAUAGCAUUCUGCCUCUGUAAGAGUAUAAGUAAAUGCUCCUAACCUUAUUCAUGGAACUUUGUGUAACUAUAGCACCUUUUCUGUUUUCCUCUAAAAUAGAUGUAUAUUUCAAGGAAGCAGAUUCAUAACUAAAAUUGUGGUAUUACAGGAAAAAUCAGUUCUUGCAAAACAUCAACAGGAGACAGGCACACUGAUUGUUUAGGGCGGAUGCUCUUAGGUACCAGGAGUAUGUUGUUACCUAUGAAGCAAGGAUGCUGACUGCAUGCUCGUUGGUGGGUUCCUAAAUUUUGUGGGUUGUGAUAUCCAUGCACCUAAACAUAUGAUGUUUUAUUGUGGCAUUCUUCUCUUACAUGCAGUACUUUUGCCCACUCGGGCAAUAUCCCUUUUGCUAUUCUCUAUUGAUGUAACUUUGGUUAGAGAACUUGGGAGAUCUUGAUAGAACUUGUACCACAAGUGGAUCACCCUUUACACCAGCCUUUUAGAGUUGAUGAGCUUCAUAGAAUUUGUAAUAUGGUAGCUCAGACUUCUACACAAGUGGUUUACCCUUUUCACCAGCCUUUCAAAGUUGAUUUUUGCAGUAGUUUUCAAAACAUACUCUGCAAGUUGAUGCCCCCAUGUGUAAAAAUUGCUAUUUGGGUAAUCAAGUCUUCCAAGUUCUCCAUGAAGCCAAGCUUGCUCUUCCUUUUCUUUCUAAAAUACCCAAUGUACAUACACUGUUUCUGUAUUUUUUCACUCGCCUUUAUCUAUGUAUCCUCCUAUAAUUUGUAUGCUAUUGGCCUUUUCCUAUACGCAGUUGAAUGAGUCAUCACGUACUCUUUAGCUAUUAAGGUAUACCUGUCCAUGCAUCAUUUACAGCUUGUUUACCACUAUAUGUCGGAAACUGAGAAUCAUGAGGCUCUGAUGCUGCUGGAGUGGGGAUUUAUGUUCAAACACACUAGUAUGUAUGUAAUACUAAUACUUCACAUUGUUGUUUAUGAAGUUUUUAUAAAAAAAUAUUCGCAUGGAAUCCGAUGCUCCCUCCAUUGUCAUGGUUUUAUAUUUAGUUUCAUUGUUUGUUGGCAUUCCUUAUUAAUAAGCUAGUCCUUGUUGUAAUUUCAUGUAUAUUAAAUUGAGUGCUUAAAUUGUCCGUUGUUUCUCGGUGACCUAUGAAAUAGAGCAGACUUACAAUAUGAAUAGUAGGCUUUCAGUUCCACGCGCAAAUACAAUUGGUGAUUAACAAAAGUUCAAAGAAAGAAUGCAAAUCAAUUAUUGAUAUUUGCUCAAAGUCAUUAAAAAUCUGGGAGUUUCCAGGGAACACAUAUGGAACUGGGAUAUGAGGGUUUCUACAAGUUUUGGGCUUCAUAUUCCAACAAGUUCCAGUCAAAGCCAAUUUCAUGUUUCUGUUUUUUGUCAGCAGCUUGCUAAUAAUGCACAUUUCUCUAAAUUGCCAGUUACCUUUGAGUUGAUACAUUUUACUAUCUCGAGAUUCUUGUGGCAUUCCUGAACAAUUUCCGUUGAUCCAAAUUCUCAUCCCUCAUGUUAUGGGCCUCAAAGAGCGGCUGGAAGACUCAUUUAAGGUAUGUAACAUCUUGAACAUAUUCUGCAUUAAUGAUCUAUCAAUGUAUUUGUUUUGUGUCAAGAUCCACCAUGCCAAAUAUUUGGUCAUGUACAAAAUUUUGCCUUGGCUUGGGUGGUUACAAUAUUUUUUUCUGUACAAUCCUCUGGGUUUUCAAUUUUGUUUUGUGGAUUAUUUCUUUUGUACUAGGUUUUGACUCUUCCAUAUCAGAUCUGAAAGUUUAUUCAUGAAAUUAGUGCAAUCUAUUUUCUUUGGUGCACUUGGACAAGCAAGCAACAAUGUUACACAUUCUUGUUUUGCCAUAUUUGCCAAUAGAAGAUUUUUGCAUGUGAAGCGCAAAUAAUUUCUGCUUGAUCUAAUUAUGUAUGUAAUAAUCACUGCUUGUUGUUGUGAUGAAGUGUUGCACAUUUAGAAGAGUUUUAUGCUGACAAGUUAAACUGCAGCACAUCCAAAUCUCUAAUGUGUUGAUUUAUAAUCUGAAACAAUAGCACCAUUUUUGAGUUUCUGAUUUGAUGCAGGUUUCUCAAAGAUACACAAGUUGAUGGAGGUUUGGAAUAUCGAGAACUUGCUGGAGGUUUUGAAGGUCUUCAAGUUGCUGGAGUGAUUAUAUAAUAUGCCUUGUUUGUUGAACCUCCAGAUAUUGGCAAGUUUUACACUGCUCAUUUUGGUGGUCGUUUCAGCACACGAGCCAUUGUAUGCCUAUUUUGGUUGUGUGGCACGAUUUCUUUACCUUAAACAUAUGUACUUUGCCUUUUGAGGCACAAUGUCAUUAUAUAUGUACGGUUCAUGCAUGCGUUAAAAGCAUAUGGUUUUGGUC
rnacentral:lncRNA from 1 species